rnacentral:tRNA from 1 species
UCCCUGGUGGCUGAGAGGUUAAAGUGUCUGCCUGCAAUGUGAGAGACCAGGGUUCGAUCCCUGGAUAGGGAA